rnacentral:tRNA from 1 species
AAAUUUAGGAUAACUUGUUUAAACCAAAGGCCUUCAAAGCCUAAAAUAAGAGCUACACCCUCUUAAUUUCU